AUAUGAUCCAGCAAUUCUGCUCUGGGAAUACAUCCAAAGACAAGCUUCUUUAGAGAGAUGAAGAUGGUUACCACCUGCAUCAUAUGUGUUUAAGGGCCCAGGAAAGCUCACUGCUCUCUAGAAUACUUUUCCAUUCAUUGGAUGACGUCAAAAGUACCAUAUUCUGGGCUUUGGGCCUUUGCGAUGGUAGAAAAGAAUGGAAGAAUCAGAGCCCUUUAUAAGAUAAAUGGACAAAGAAUAAGCUGAAUAGAUACACACACACACAACGGAGUAUUUUUCAGCCAUAAAAGAGAAUGAAAUCUUGCCAUUUGCAACAACAUGGAUGGAGCUACAGAGUAUAAUGAUGCACGUGGCUGCAAGCAACAACAGCAACAGAAAACAAAGUAGGUGACAGGUAAGAAAGAGAACCCGCUAGAAUUAGGAAGAGAAGAUGAAGGAGCAGAACAUCCUCUCCCUGAAAGCCAGGAGUAAGAGUAUGUGAGGAGGGGAGCAGAGGGAGAAUUCAGAACUCUAUACCACAUUACCGCAGUCUGCCACGGCGCUCUCAGUCAGCACGGCCAAAUGAGAAAACAUGGUGGACACCAGAGUUUAUCCUCCAACCACUAACUGCAUGGAAUA